CGGGAACGGGCCACGAAGAAUGGGUAGAAGGAGCCGGCGGCGGGCAGAGAGAGAACACGCUCCAGGGAACGGGCAGACGGACCAGGUGAAAGAUCUGAACACAGAAUGAGUUUUGCUGUCAUCCCUUUCACGUCCUCGCACCCUCCCUCCUGCCUGCAUGGGGUAUUGGCAUGGCGUAAUCGAAUGAGAGAGGGCCUGGGAGUCAGAGGACCUGGGUUCUAGUCCGACUCGGCCACUUGCCUGCCGUGUGACCCUGGCGCUUAACCCUCUCAGGAAGGCACCUGGAGAAUCGCCAGUGCUCUCCCAGUCUCGGCUACGGAAGGGAGAGUCAAGCGGAGGCCUGUUUGUUCCAUUCCGAGCAUGGGUAGUGGCU